GUUCUAUGCCACAUUUUGGCAUGCCAAAGGGAAACUUGCCACACUUUUAUACAUCAUCGACGAGUUCGACCUACGCAGCAGGAGAAAAAUCUUGCCACAACUGUGGCUAUGAACCAAACACAUGCCUAACUCGUUCAAACUUGUCUAACCUUAGGUGUGAUAAACUGUGGCAAGUGAGGCAGUGAACCAAACAACCCAAAUGUGUUAAAUGUUUGGUAACUUUUGAGGGGGUUUCAAUUACACCCAUGAACUCCAAAAAUAGAUUUUAAAGGCCAUAAACUUUUUGACUUUAGUGAACCUCAGUGUAAAUGGACUAUUUACACUAGGUGGUUUUCAUAAGAGAAUCGUAAGGCCUUGUUCGGUUAUUCCCAUCCCAUGUGAAUUGGGUGGGAUUGGGAUGUAUUAAGAGAGAUUUUUACUUGCUAUGGAUCUAGACCCACCCAAUCUCCGGGCUACUUUGGGAACCUCAAAUCCCCUUCGGGAUUGGAAGGGAUUGAGGUGGAAAUGAACUAAUUUCCUCUCCAAUCCCCUUCAAUCCCGAAGAGGAUUUGAGUUUCCAAACUAGCCCUAGUGUGUUUUGUUCUACAGUGGUUUUGCAUCUCCCUUCCACCGCUUUUUAUUGGUGGCAACCUUGGAGCUCCAAAAAUUGCAAAAUAUAGAGGAGAUUAUUUUGAU
rnacentral:lncRNA from 7 species